rnacentral:rRNA from 1 species
GACGUAGGGUGCAAGCGUUGCCCGGAUUCACUGGGCGUAAAGAGCGCGUAGGCGGCUCGUUAAGUGAGAAGUGAAAGCUGUGGGCUCAACCCACAAACCGCUUUUCAUACUGGCGAGCUGGAGUGAUGCAGAGGUGGAUAGAAUUCCCGGUGUAGCGGUGAAAUGCGUUGAUAUCGGGAGGAAUACCCGUGGCGAAGGCGACUACCUGGCCUGUUCUUGACGCUGAGGCGCGAAAGCUAGGGGAGCAAACGGG